GUGGGAGGGGGCUUGCUCCCGAUGGCAGUAUUUCAGUCGGUAUAUAUGUUGACUGAUUCACCGCCAUCGGGAGCAAGCCCCCUCCCAC
rnacentral:misc_RNA from 1 species